rnacentral:lncRNA from 1 species
GAGGAUCAUAUUUUGAGCCCAUCACACAUUCAUGCAUGCCAUGCCAUUUUUCUUAGUUUGUUGUUUCAUUCAUUCAUUCAUGUAUUCAUCAAUACCUUCCACAGAUACCUAUUGAUCUGUUUUUACAGGCCCAUGUCACUAUUCUCAGGUUGUCAGUGGCUAUCUGUGUGACCCCCACCUCCCAAUCCCAUACCUUCUAGAGCAGCAGUCCCAACCUUUUAGGCAACAGGGACCAGUUUCAUGAAAGACCAUUUUUCCACAGACUAGGGCGGCAGGGGAUAGUUUAGGGAUGAUUCAAGUACAUUACAUUUAUUGUGCACUUUAUUUCUAUUAUUAUUACUUUGUAAUAUAUAAUGAAAUAAUUAUACAACUCACCAUAAGGCAAAAUCAGUGAGAGCCUUGAACUUGUUUUCUUGCAACUAGGCGAUCCCAUCUCGGAGUGAUGGGAGACAGUGACAGAUCAUCAAGCAUUAGAUUCUCACAAGGAGAGUGCAACCUAGAUCUCUGCCAUGCGCAGUUCACUAGAGGGUUCACGCUCCUAUGACAAUCAAGGUCGCCACUGAUCUGACAGGAGGCCAAGCUCAGGCAAUAAUGCUAGUGAUGGGGAGUGGCUGUAAAUACAGAUGAAGCUUGAUUUGCUUGCCUGCCACUCACCUCCUGCUGUGCGGCCUGGCUCCUAAUAGGCCAGUACUGGUCUGUGGCCCAAGGGUUGGGGACCCCUGCCCUAGAAGAGUUCUUCAUCUGUACUCAUGAAAAGUUGAUAAGUCACCUAAAUCACCUUUAAUAAGAGCCCAGUAAGUUGAGAUGUCACAAAAACAGAGCCAGAAAAAGAAUCUAUACCAUCUGCUACAGCCAGGACCAGCUACCUAAUUUACAAGUCUCAGCACAAAAUGAAAAUGUGGGGCCUCAGCCAGAUGUGGUGGCUCAUGCCUGUUAUCCCAGCACUUUAGGAGACCAAGGUGGGAAGAUUGCUCGGGCCCAAGAGGUUGAGGCUGCAGUGAGCCGUGAUUGCGCCACUGUACUCCAGCCUGGGCAAUAAAGCAAGACCCUGAAAAAAAAAAAGAAGAAAAGAAAAGAUGGGUAGGGAAAAAAGUGCCAUUAGAGGCACUAAACUACAAACUUUUCCUUUCUUCUGUGGUCUCUGUCUUGCCCUCUCUUGGUGUUUCUUAUUUACUGUUUGAUGCUAUGCUUCCUUGGGCACAGGGAUACUUACAGGGUGAGUGCAGACCCUCACAGGCACAGGGAGGGUGAGGAGUAGGAGGUGGGCUGCCCGUGACUGCAUAUCCAUGCACAGUUCACCAGCUCCAGGAGUCUUCCUCUGGCUAGACCACCAGACUGACAUGCCAUAUCUGCCCAGGGGCAAGGAUGAGGUGAGGCCGUCAAUCUUCCCUUCCCACAGGCCUGCUGCCCCAACCCAUGGCUGCUGGGAGACCUCCAGGGGAUUAAAUCUCCAUUCCAAAGCAGUCUCAGCACCUGGCUAGGGGAUGGCUGAGAGGCCAGUCCUGCUGCUGCUCAUCAAAGGCACCAUGGCGCUGCCAGCCCAGGGCAAGGAUGGCUGCCACCCUGCCUCUCCCCAAAAUGCCAUAGGGCACACCAGCUCAACCCCAAUUCUCCCUGUGCCCACAGCUAGGCCCUUACAGCAGGCAGAGGUCAGCAAGGAAGGGGAAGUCAGGUGGGGCCUGGGGAACCAGGAAGCGGGGAACAGGCAGCUGAGAAUUGUUCCAGGGAAGCAGGGAGAGGCAGACCACGCAUGGGCCAAGACUCCAAGCCCUCAGUGCAUGCUGCAUUGUCCCAUUGGACUUCACUUGCAAAGUGUAAAUGCAACGAAAAAAUUAUUAAGAAUUUCAAGACAAGGUGGGUGCAGUGGCACUUACCUGUAGUCCCAGCUACUCAGGAGGCUGAGGCGGGGGAAUCACUUGAGCCCAGGAAUUUGAGUCCAGCCUGGGAAGCAUAGCGAGACCUCCCACCUCAAAAAAACAGAAAAGAAUUCUAAGACAGUGUCAUAGAACAUUAGCCCCCCAGUGCAGGACCCUUUUGAACAGAGCUCUUCUGAGCACGAGGCCCUGUCUAUGCCUGAUGCACACCCACGAAACCGACCUUGGCUCCAGCUUUCAAUGCGAACUUCUUACAGUUUAGGUCCUCUGCGAAGUCACUUGCUUCCAGUAGCUCCUAUCAGAGCUGAGCUGAGGCCUUAGACUGGGGUUAAAAGAGAGGUGAAGUUUCCCGCUGCAGCACUAAACACAUCACUGAAGGCCUACGGAGUAAUCCUUGAGCAUCCCCUGACUCAGAGCACUGCCACCGCAUCAGCUUCUUCCAGAUGCCAAGAAGCACCUCUGGGUCUUGGGGUUCCGGCUUGUUUGUGUCACAAGUAAUAACUUGUAUUUUAUUUGCUUUUAAAAACUGGAUAUGCUCCCACUUCUCAGCCUCUACAAUGAGACCUGUGUUUCGUGUUUUUCAGUGUGCCUUUGAGAAAGGCCCAUAAACCUAUAAACACCCUUUUUCUCCCCAAGGUGAGGUUUGACCCUAGUACUUACUACCACUGUUUACUGGAGAGUCAUGUUGAGAACAUCUCCUUUAGGCUCUAUUUCUCAUCCUAAGGGAUAUAUCCAGCCUUCAUUAUGGAAGGUUUUGAAGGCCUCAAAUAAAAUCAAAGUAGAAUUUGAAUAAAACAUCUUGGCUGGGCACGGUGGCUCGCAUCUGUAAUCCCAGCACUUUGGGAGGCUGAGGUGGGCGGGUCACAAGGUCAGGAGAUCAAGAACAUCCUGGCUAACACGGUGAAACCCCCAUCUCUGCUAAAAAUACAAAAAUCAGCUGGGCGUGGUGGCGCGUGCCUGUAGUCCCAGCUACUCGGGAGGCUGAGGCAGGAGAAUCGCUUGAACCAGGGAGUCGGAGGUUGCAGUGAACCGAGAUCACACCACUGCACUCCAGCCUGGCGACAGAGAGACUCUGUCUCAAAUAAAUAAAUAAAACAUCUUAAAGAAAUAGAAAAUACUAGUAGAGUAUUCACUCUGAUUUCAGAAUCAAUUUGUGGAAAUUCAGUUUCACAAGAAUGAAAAAAGCCCCCUAAGCAAGGUAGCUUUUUUUUUUUUUUUUAAAGAUGGGGUCUCACUAUGUUUUCCAGACUGAUCUCAAACUCCUGGGCUCAAGCAAUCCUCCUCCCUCAGCCUCCUGAGUGGCUGGGACUACAGGUACACAUCACCACCACCCUGCUAGGAUAUGGUAGCUUUUUAACCAAAACACACCACCAUGCAAUGGAGAGCAUGUAACUUGUUAUUUGGUCAUACAAAUACAUCAGAAUAAAUUCCACCUCUCUUGUGGAGCCCUUUUUCCUACAUCUGCACAGAAACUGGCACUAGCAGGACUGCAACCGAGGCAGACUCGAGAAUUAGCAGACUCUGGCUCAGGCAGGACAAUAGAGCAGCGGGAAAUUUCUUUCAAGGGCUUUUGUUGCUGUUGUUGAGAUGGAAUCUUGCUGUGUCACCCAGGCUGGAGUGCAGUGGUGCUGUCUCGGCUCACUGCAAUCUCCGCCUCCCAGGUUUAAACGAUUCUCCUGCCUCAGCCUCUCAAGUAGCUGCGAUUACAGGCAUGUGCCACCAUGCCCAGCUAAUUUUUGCAUUUUUGGUAGAGAUGGGGUUUCACUAUGUUGCUCAGGGAGGUCUCGAAACUCCUGACCUCAGGUGAUCCGCCCACCUCGGCCUCCCAAAGUGUUGAGAUUACAGGCAUGAGCCACUGCGCCCGGCUUGAGACCUUGAGGGGCUUUUUAACCAAGAGAUGGUGUAGGGACAGAAGCCAGCAAGAAGAACAUGGUGGACUCUCUGUGAGGCCCCAAACCCCAAAUCAUGAGCCUCCGCCCCCUGAAAGUAUUCCAGGAUCUCUGAGGGAGGUUUUGGGAGGGGGCCAAGGUCCUGCAAUUGGGUGGGUGGGGCUCCAAGCCAUUGUUCUUUGCACAUUCAUGCCAAUGUGACCUAAUUGGCUAAGCACAGGCUGGAGAAGCUAGAUAAACCUAUUUAAAUUCAGAGCCAAAAGACACUCAAGGAUGUUUUCUGAGGGGGUGUGAGGGUUGGAAAAUCAUCCUAUAUUUGAUUUAUCUCCCACCUCAUGUCCUGAGUCAAUUCCUUAGUCUUAGAUGAGGGAGACGACUUGGGAGUCAUCCUUGUUUUUGAUGAGCUAUAUAACCCUAUGGCCAGCAGAGGGAAGUACUGCAUUUCAGAGCGACAAUUUGAGAUCUAUGAAAGAAUUUCAAUCGAGAAUAAGAGGCCGGGCGCGGUGGCUCACGCCUGUAAUCCCAGCUCUCAGGGAGGCUAAGAGGCGGGAGGAUAGCUUGAGCCCAGGAGUUCGAGACCUGCCUGGGCAAUAUAGCGAGACCCCGUUCUCCAGAAAAAGGAAAAAAAAAAACAAAAGACAAAAAAAAAAUAAGCGUAACUUCCCUCAAAGCAACAACCCCCCCCCCCCUUUUCAUAUUCUUGCCUGGAAGAAAGGCCUUGCUUUCCUCAGCUUCUUAAAGCUGGGAGAAGUUAAAGCCAUUCUGAAAUGCUGCUGCUACUGCUAUAUGUGGGGGAGAAAGCAAAUUUUCUUUUUACUUUUUUAAUCAGUAUUUAUUUUAAGUUCGAGGGUACAUGUGCAGGAUGUGCAGGUUUGUUACAUAGGUAAACGUGUGCCAUGGUGGUUUGCUGCACAGGUCAACCCAUCACCUAGGUAUUAAACCCAGCAUCCAUUAGCUAUUCUUCCUGAUGCUGUCCCUCCUCCCACCCCACCAACAGGACCCCAAAUUUUCUUUCUUUUUUUUUUUUUUUUUUUUUUGAGAUGGAGUCUAGCUCUGUCACCCAGUCUGGAAUGUAAUAGCUCAAUCUCGGCUCACUGUAACCUCCAUCUCCCAGGUUCAAGUGAUUCUCCUGCCUCAGCCUUCCAAGUAACUGGGAUUACAGGCAUGCACUACCAUGCCUGGCUAAUUUUUGUAUUUUUAGUAGAGACGGGGUUUCACCAUGUUGGCCAGGCUGGUCUCAAACUCCUGACCUCAAAUGAUCCGCCUGCCUCAGCCUCCCAAAGUACUGGGAUUACAGCUGUGAGCCACCGUGCCCAGCCUCCAAAUUUUCUUAUUUCCAUGGCCUUGAGCAAAAUUAUACCAUCCUAGACAAACACACACACACACACACACACACACCAUUCUCCCCCUCUUGCUGUCUUUCUCAGAUAUGAGUCUCUCCUCCAAUGGCCAUUUUAAGCUUGCUCUUUUGCUCUGUAAUACAAGGCCUGUUCCCUGUUAAAAGGAAUGUCAGGCAUCUGUGAGCAGGUAGGGAAAACAUUGCAGGAGGCAAGUAAACUUCUCAGCAUACCUGCCAUCAUUCAUACCUUGAAGGCAGGUCAAGCCUGUAGCGUCUGAGUCUUCCAUCCCUGAAGCACCAGCAGCUCUGACUAGAGGUCCUGUCUCCCAGCUGUGGCCCCAGCUCUCCCUGAUGGUGACAGUUGCGACUUCCAAACUUGCUCCUCCCCAUAUCUGUAACUGAGCCCAGCGUACAUUUGCCUCAUGGGUGCCAUUGGACUUCCUUUGUGAGCCAUGUUUUCUUUCACCUUGUCCCAAUCCACAGUUAACCAAAUCUUGGCCCAAAUUAUGUGCUGGCUGGUGUUGGGCAGCUGUGAGACCCCUCCUUGCCCCAUCUCUGUCUUCUAGGCUCUUCUGAGAACCAGUGUCCUUUGAGAUCUCAGAUGGGAUUUAGAGGAGGGUUUCCACCCAGACCACUUUCCACAAAUUUCACUUCUGCAUUUCAUCUGGUAGGGUGUGGUUUUCAACUAGAAGCCCAAAUGAGGAAGAAAAAAAUUCAUUCACCAUUCAGGACAGGGUGUUCACAUUUGAACCAGGCAGAAAUAGCUGAAAGAAACUGAAUUCUAAAGGGACUCUCAGCUUUUGGGGGAGACAUAUUUGAGUGCAGGAGGCUAGACCACCCACUGGCUGGCUCUUUGCUCCUCACUGAGGCCAGCCUUGACUCUAAACAGAUAACACAGGGCCAAAACACACCCAGCCAGCUUUGAUAAGCAACCGUCUCUGCCAAACAGUUUCUUUCACAGGGCCCAGAUGAUCUCAUCACAGAGGCUGCAUUCUCUGGUAUCUGUUCCAAGCACAGACUCACUUCUCAUUACCUUUGCAAAUAAUAGUCAAUCUAUCCUGAGAAGCUCCUUUAUAUCCCAUACUGGGCUAAGGUCUGAAGAGGGUACAGUUAAAGAACCCAUGAUCUCAGACUGGGCAUGGCAGCUCAUGCCUAUAAUCCCAGCACUUUUGGGAGGCCAAGGCAGGAGGACCGCUUUAGCCCAGGAGUCCAAGACCAGCCUGGGCAACAUAGUGAGAACUCUUGAGACCUUGUCUCUACAAAAAAUAAACAAAAUUAGCCAUGCAUGGUGGCUUGCACCUGCCUGUAGGAAGCUGAAGCAGGUGAGCCUGGGACGCAAAGGUUGCAGUGAGCCAAAAUCGCACCACUGCACUCCAGCCUGCGCGACAGAGACUGUCUCACAAAAAAGAAAAGAAAAGAAAAAAAAAAAAGGACCCAUGAUUCCUCAUGAAGCUUGCCUCUGGAUCUAAUUCAUGGUUCUCUAUUUCCACAAGCUUUGUGGAGCAAGGGGCUCAUGACACUUCAUCUUUAUGGUACAGAUAACUCACCGAAACUGGAUUCCUUUAGCUACUGGUCCCACACCACUCCCUCCAGGAGCCACCUUCCCUCUCCAUGUUUUUCUCAUGAAUUUUGAACCGGCCAUUUCUAUUUUAUUUUAUUUUACAUUUAUUUAUUUAUUUAUGGAGACAGAGUUUCACUCUUGUCACCCAGGCUGGAGUGCAGUGAUGCUAUCUUGGCUCACUCCAACCUCCACCUCCCAGGUUCAAGUGGUUCUCCUGCCUCAGCCUCCCAAGUAGCUGGGAGUACAGGCACGUGCCACCACACUCGGCUAAUUUUUGUAUUUUUAGUAGAGACGGGAUUUCUCCAUGUUGGCCAGGCUGAUCUCGAACUCCUGACCUCAGGUGAUCCACCCGUCUCGGCCUCCUAAAGUGCUAGGAUUACAGGUGUGAGCCACUGCGCCCAGCCAAAAUAAAAAUAGAUUUUAAAAAUGAAAAUAAAAAUAACAUAAUAAGAUGAACACCACCUCGGUGAUCUGUGGGAUAGUAUCAAGUGGUCUAACAUAAUUGGAGCCCCCCCAAAAUGAGGGAAGGCUAAAAAAAAAAAGCCAAAAUUUUUCUAAACUUGAAACUGUUUAAAGCAAAAAAUAAUAACAAUGCCUUAUGAGGUUUAUAACAUAUGUAGAAAUAAAAUGAAUAAUCAUAAUAGCCCAUCAGGGGGCUGAGGUGGGAGGAUUGCCUGAGCCCAGGAGUUUAAGGCUGUGAUGCACUAUGAUCAUGCCUGUGAAUGGCCUCUGCACUCCAGCCUGGACAACAUAGUGAGACUCUGUCUCCAAAGAAAAAAUGGAGGAAAAAAGAAAAAGAAAAAGAAAGAAAAUAAUGGCCCAAAGGAUAGAAGAGAAGAAAUGAGAAUAGACUGUUAUAAAGCUCUUCGAUUUUGUGUGGAGGAGUAUAAUAACAUUUGAAGGUAUUCUGGGUUAAGCAGUUUAUCCGAGGUGUCACAUAUGAUGGAGCUAGGAUCCAAAUUAAGCUUUCCAGAUUCAAAGCUUUUUGUGGGGAGAGGAGAUGUGAGGUUAGGCUCACACAUGCCACAAGACAGUUUCCCCAAAGGCUGCGGGAAUUAAGUGCUUUCAUCUCUGUAGUGGGUAUUCCCUCAAAAGACGUGUUCAAGUCCUAACCUCCAUACCCAAGAGAGUCAGCUUACUUGGAAAUAGGCUCUUUGCAGACGUAAUCAAGUCAUACUGAGUUAGGGUAAAGCCUAACCCAAUGACUGGUGUCCUUAUUAUAAAGGGGGGGGUGCGGUACCAGGUGUGGUGGCUCACAUCUGUAAUCCCAACACUUUGGGAGGCCAAGGCCAGUGGAUCACCUGAGGUCAGGAGUUCAAGACCAGCCUGGCCAACAUGGUGAAACCCUGUCUCUACUAAAAAUACAAAAAUUAGCCGGGCAUGGUGGCAGGCACCUGUAGUCCCAGCUACUCGGGAGGCUGAGGCAGGAGAAUCACCGGAGCCCGGGAGACAGAGAUUGCAGUUAGCCGAGAUUGCACCAUUGCACUCCAGCCUGGGUGACAGAGCAAGACUCCAUCUCAAGAAAAAAAAAAAAAAAAAAAAGGACAUUUGAACACAGAGAAGACACACAGGGAAAAUGCCAUGCAAUGAUAGAUAUCUAUAAGCUGAGGAACACGCCCAGAAGUAAGAAAGAGGCAAGGAAGGCUCUCUGAGAGCCUUCAGAGAGUGUGAGGCCCUGCCCAACACCUAGAUUUUGGACUUCUGACCUUCAGAACCAGAGAGAAUAUAUUUCUGGGUUUUGUUUGUUUUUUUGUUUUUCUGAGAUGGAGUUUUGCUCUUGUUGCCCAGGCUGGAGUGCAGUGGCAUGAUUUUGGCUCACCGCAAUCUCCACCUCCCAGGUUCAAGCGAUUCUCCUGCCUCAGCCUCCCAAGUAGCUGGGAUUACAGGCGCCCGCCACCAUGCCCGGCUAAUUUUUUCGUAUUUUCAGUAGAGAUGGGGUUUCUCCAUGUUGGUCAGGCUGGUCUCGAACUCCUGACCUCAGGUGAUCCUCCCACCUCAGCCUCCCAAACUGCUAGGAUUACAGGCAUGAGCCACCAUGCCCGGCCAUAUUUCUGUUGUUUUAAGCCACCUUGUCUGUGGCAUUUUGUUACAGCAGCCCUAGGGAACUAAUACAAUCUCUAAAACUUCCUCUUUUUGAUGCUCCCAGUCUUUAGAAUGUAAAGAAGCUCCGCCCCUACCCAUGCAUGGGCCAAGUAUAAAGUGAGUGUUGAUAGCAGGAUAUUAAGUUGACAAAAUAAACCAGAUUCAGGAUCUAAGAGCCACAGGGGAAAAUCAUGAAGUGGGGACUGGUUGGACUGGUUUUUCUCAUAAAUCUCAAUGACUUUGAUCCCAACCAGGUGGAAUUUUAAAGUUAAUUGAUUUAGGGAGGAACACCUGAGCAGCUGCACCGUGUGUGAGCCCUGUGCUAGGCCCAGUGGGGAAGCCAGGUGAGUCAGGUGCUGCUGCCUUACGGGAGCUCAUAGGAUUCGCCUCUACAGAAGGUGUGAUGGAACAGGUCAGUCACUAGCCAAGGUGUGAGUAACAGGCUGUGCAAGUUCAAAAUCAAGAGAGUGAUUCAUUUCCCCUGGGGGAGCAUCAGCCAGACUGCUUCACUGAGGAGAAGGCAGUGGCGACAUCUCUCUAAAUAUCUGACUGUGGAAUCCAUAGCCCAGAGAAGGUCUUGUGUGUCGAUUAGAGACAAGCAAAGGAAAACAAAUCUACCAGGAAUGCUGGUGUUUUCCUGGAGAGUGUUUCACUGAUCACGGGGUAGUGCUCUUUGCUCAGUGGAGAGGUACAAAGCUGUCUAGCCCCUGCUUGCUCUGAGGGGGAAUUCUCUGGGCUCUCGGAACCUCUUAUUUUCCCUUCUGGUUCUCCACUUGGGGUGAGUGCUUAUCACCACCUUCUGUAGAGAUUGAGGAAAGUGGAGAAGGUACACAGAGGCUUUGGAGUUGCUAGCGAUCUCAAUGACAUCUUGUAAGAGAGCUGGUGGCUCAAGAAGGAGAGAGCAGGCCCUUGUGUUGCAUUUGCAGGAUCUGGGGCAAUAGUACAGCCCACAUAUCUAAGCUCCAUUUACGUUGCCAAAAAUAGCAUAGGCCACACAUCUAAGCUCCAUCUACAUUGACACUCCAUGACCCCACGUGGGCCACCCCAGUGUCAUGGCCCAGUCUGGAGAAGUGACCCUGCGAAAAAGCUGUGUAUGCCCUGUAGGUAGACUUGACCCUUCUGUGCAAGAAAUUUUGAUGUCCUGCGAGCACCCAGAAUGGUCUAGGAGAGAGGGAACAGGCUCCAGUGGACAUAUUCUCUUCGCCCUGUUGACUCCCUCCUCCAUGGGAAGAGACUUGGCUUAAACAAGCCUAGAGCAGGUCUGUUUAAGGUCUGGGGCCCUGAGUAGGAAUCUACUUACCCACGUCGAAGGUAGAAUUGGGAAGAAGCACUGUUAUAAACUCAACAGAAAGUGAUACUGAGUUUCAUUUUUUUUUUUUUUUUUUUUUUUGGAGACAGUCUUGCUCAGUCGCCCAAGCUGGAGUGCAGUGGUGUGAUCUCGGCUCACUGCAAGCUCCGCCUCCUGGGUUCACGCCAUUCUCCUGCCUCAGCCUCCUGAGUAGCUGGGACUACAGGCGCCCACCACCACGCCUGGCUAAUUUUUGUGUUUUUAGUAGAGACGGGGUUUCACCAUGUUGGCCAGGAUGGUCUCUAUCUCCUGACCUCGUGAUCCGCCCGCCUCGGCCUCCCAAAAUGCUGAGAUUACAGGUGUGAGCCACUGCACCUGGCCAAUACUGAGUUUCUUGGUUUUGCUCUGGAACUAGACUAAUGAAUUCCAAUCCUCAUGGAAGCCCUGUGUGAAGCAUUUCAUGGAGAAAAAUUUGUAUGAUGCAGUGGUUUGCAAAUGGGGGAAAUUUGGCAUACAGUGACAUUUGGUGAUGUCUAUAGGCAUUUUGCAUUGUCAUAAUUGGAGGAUACUGCAAGACGUCUGGUGGGUAGAGGCCAGGGAUAUUGCAAAAUAUCCUACUAUGUUGCCCUGCAGGAUAGCACCCCAUAAGAAACAAUGAUUUUGGCCGGGCAUGGUGGCGCACGCCUGUAAUUCCAACAGUUUGGGAGGCCGAGGAGGGCAGAUCACUUGAGGUUAGGAGUUUGAAACCAGCCUGGACAACAUGGUGAAACCCCAUCUCUACUAAAAAUACAAAUAAAUUAGCCGGGUGUGGUGGCAGGCACCUGUAAUCCCAGCUACUCUGGAGGCUGCGGCAGGAGAAUUGCUUGAACGGGGAGGUGGAGGUUGCAGUAAGCCGAGAUCGUGCCACUGUACUCUACCCUGGGCAACAGAGCAAGACUCCGUCUCUAAAUAAAUAAAUAAAUAAAAAUAAAAUAAAAUAAAAGAAACAAUGAUUUGGCCCCAAAUAUCAAUAGUGCUGAGGUUUGAGAAAUGAAUUUUUAGUACCCUUAGCACAUGGUUUGGACUUGUUUGCUGCAGGAUGCUGGGCCUGGAAGAUAUAAGAUUGCAAGUAGCCACGGCUCCUAAAGAAUGACUGAGUGGCUGCUUCCAGAAAAGUAGGUCAGAAUCAGCAGAAAAACAACUUAAUGAGGCCGGGCGCGGUGGCUCACGCCUGUAAUCCCAGCACUUUGGGAGGUCGAGGCGGGUGGAUCACGAGGUCAGGAGUUCGAGACCAGCCUGGCCAACAUGGUGAAACCCCGUCUCUACUAAAAACACAAAAAUUAGCCAGGCGUGGUGGUGGGCGCCUGUAGUCCCAGCUACUCGGGAGGCUGAGGCAGAAGAAUUGCUUGAACCCCGGAGGCGGAGAUAGAUGGCAGUGAGCCAAGACUGUGCCACUGCACUCCAGCCUGGGCAACAGAGCACGACUCCAUGUCAAAACAAAACAAAAAAAAAAUUAAUGGUGUACUUGGGACUAUACUAUCAGCCUCAACAAAUAGACUUGGGGCCCAGCAGCUGUGCCAAGCUCCCGAAGACCCACCAGCCUGAACUGUCCAUCCCUUUUCCUCAUGCAACUUUGCCACCCACAUCACCCACCAUCCCUCACCUUUGGUCUUCACUGGGGCAGCUCUCCAUUCAACUAACUCCCCCGCGCUUAAGUUAAUUAUCUGAGUUUUCUUUGCAGCUUAAUACUUACCAGGCCUCAUGGUGUCUACUCUUCUUUUUUCUUUUUUUUCCCAGACAGAGUUUUGCUCUUAUUGCCCAGGCUGGGGUGCAAUGGUGCCAUCUCGGCUCACUGCAACCUCCGCCUCCCAGGUUCAAGCGAUUCUCCUGCCUCAGCCUCCCGAGUAGCUGGAAUUAUAGGCAUGUGCCACCACGCCCGGGUAAUUAUGUAUUUUUAGUAGAGAAGGGGUUUCUUUCAUGUUGGUCAGGCUGGUCUCAAACUCCCAACCUCAGGUGAUCAACCUGCCUCAGCCUCCCACAGUACUGGGAUUACAGAAAUGAGCCAUUGCACCUGGCCCAGUGUCUACUUUUCUUUAUCAGGCUAAACAGCUCAGGACACAGAUAGAAUUUGGACUUAGGUCCGUGUGAAUCCAAAGGGCCAUGCUCAACUGAGCAGCCGGCACUGCCUCGCUGAACAGCCAGGAUUCUGGGAGUGCUACUUUGUACAACAUUUUAUGAAAUGUUUCUGGCCUCCUUCUAGACCAGAGCAGAAAGGGGUGGUUAGGAUGUUCUAAAUACCAACCCCCUCUACUCCAUCCCCAGGUUCAUGACAACUUUUUAAGCUGAGCAUACUGCAAUCACUUAAUUCUUCUAGACCUAAGAUAAGCCAGUAGCCACGUCCACUCUGAGCCUGUGAGCAGGCAGGAUCAAGUCUAAGAGCAUCUCUUCUUUGGAAUCUUAAGGCCUAGGAUCCCAGCAGUUUUGGGGUCUAAAGACUUUUCAGGCUCCCGAAACUCCCUCUAUUUUUAAUAAUUUUAAAUGUUUCCCCAAUACUUAGCUAAGCAAAGAAGGAAAAAGUGUACUUUUAUUACACAGUCAGUUCUGGAUAAUUCUAGGGGAAAUUCUUCCAUUUUAGAAAUCUCUGCUUUCUUCUUUUCUCCCAGAUUCUUCUCAUUAAUUCCCUCAGUAAAUAUUUGUCUGUGGCAGGGUGCAGUGCUCGUGCCUGUAAUCCCAGCACUUUUGGAGGCUGAGGUGGACGAAUCACCUGAGGUCAGGAGUUUGAAACCAGCCUGGCCAUCAUGGUGAAACCUCGUCUCUACUAACAGCACAAAAAUUAGCUGGGCAUGGUGGUGCGUGCCUGUAAUCCCAGCUACUUGGGAGGCUGAGGCAGGAGAAUUGCUUGAACCAGGAGGCGGAGGUUGCAGUGAGCCAAGAUCACGCCACUGCAUGCCAGCCUGGGUGACAGAGCAAGACUCUGUCUCGGGAAAAAAAAAAAAAAAAAACUAUAUAUACAUACAUACAUAUAUAUAUAUAUAUAUAUAAAAUGUACAUAUAUAUUUAUCUGGCACCUACUAGAUGCCCCAGGUACCAUGGUAGGCACAGGUGUACAGUGAUGAAGAGCAUUUUCCUAUAAAAUAUUACCCAGGCUGACUCCAAGUUUUAAUACCUCAGGUAGGAAAAGGAGGAGAGUGUUAGUAAAAUGUUUGCCGUUGAAUUUCACCAGCGUAAAAACAACAUUCUGGGAAAUAAUUAUCUGCACUUCAGUUCUUUGGGGUGGUACCGGAGGGAAUCUUUACAAAGGUGGUAUUAAUGGAGAAGAGGAAGGGAAGGAUCCUUAGUGAUGGGUUGUUUUUCCAAGCACCUCGAUCUAGUGGAUUUCCUUUUUUUUUUUUUGAGAUGGAGUUUCGUUUUUGUCGCCCAGGCUGGAGUGCAAUGGCGCGAUCUCG